rnacentral:lncRNA from 1 species
AAUGUGUGUCAAUAGUAACAAAUUGUUGUUUUAAUAAUAUAAGUUUAACUUCUCACCCACAAUAAAAAGACAUUAAAGAAAGACAACACUUGAUAAAAUUGAUUAAUUGUUAGAACGUGCAUGUAUCCAUAUAUAAAUAUGCAUGUAUUUAGAUUAUAAAAGAUUUAUCAAAGUUUAGCAUGCGAUUGGCCUAGACAAGGGCAUAGGGUCAUGUAACGGUGUUUCGAUUGAAAAAUAUUGGCAAGAAAAAAGAAUCGUAAAUUUUACAUCAAUAUUGGUUUAUAAAAGAAAUUUCUCUUAGGUCAUCUCCAACCCACCCUUAAAUUCCAUUUUUUCCCCUAUUUAUUCCACAUUCUUCUCUAAUCCUACCCCAUUUUCAUAUCCAUCUUUGGAGAUAUGCGAUUUGGCCUAGACAAGGGCAUAGGGUCAUGUAACGGUGUUUCGAUUGAAAAAUAUUGGCAAGAAAAAAGAAUCGUAAAUUUUACAUCAAUAUUGGUUUAUAAAAGAAAUUUCUCUUAGGUCAUCUCCAACCCACCCUUAAAUUC